rnacentral:rRNA from 1 species
GCGCAGGAAAAGAAACCAACAGGGAUUGCCCUAGUAACGGCGAGUGAAGCGGCAACAGCUCAAAUUUGAAAUCUGGCUCUUUCAGGGUCCGAGUUGUAAUUUGCAGAGGGUGCUUUGGCAAAGGUUGUGGUCUAAGUUCCUUGGAACAGGACGUCACAGAGGGUGAGAAUCCCGUACGUGGCCGCCAACCCGCGCUAUGUAAAGCCCCUUCGACGAGUCGAGUUGUUUGGGAAUGCAGCUCUAAAUGGGAGGUAAAUUUCUUCUAAAGCUAAAUAUUGGCCAGAGACCGAUAGCGCACAAGUAGAGUGAUCGAAAGAUGAAAAGCACUUUGGAAAGAGAGUCAAAAAGCACGUGAAAUUGUUGAAAGGGAAGCGCUUGCAGCCAGACUUGCCUGUAGUUGCUCAUCCGGGCUCUUGCCUGGUGCACUCUUCUAUAGGCAGGCCAGCAUCAGUCUUGGCGGUCGGAUAAAUGCGUGCUAAACGUACCUCUCUUCGGGGAGGACUUAUAGGGCACGCGGCAUACGACCAGCCGGGACUGAGGUCCGCGCAUCUGCUAGGAUGCUGGCGUAAUGGCUGUAAGCGGCCCGUCUUGAAACACGGACCAAGGAGUCUAACAUCUAUGCGAGUGUUUGGGUGUCAAGCCCGAGCGCGUAAUGAAAGUGAACGGAGGUGGGAACCCCUCGGGGUGCACCAUCGACCGAUCCUGAUGUUCUCGGAUGGAUUUGA